rnacentral:rRNA from 1 species
ACUCCUACGGGAGGCAGCAGUGAGGAAUAUUGCGCAAUGGAGGCAACUCUGACGCAGCCAUGCCGCGUGCAGGAAGACGGCCCUACGGGUUGUAAACUGCUUUUAUCCGGGAAGAAUCCCCAGUUCGUGAACUGGGUUGACGGUACCGGAGGAAUAAGCACCGGCUAACUCCGUGCCAGCAGCCGCGGUAAUACGGAGGGUGCAAGCGUUAUCCGGAUUCAUUGGGUUUAAAGGGUGCGUAGGCGGAACGGUAAGUCAGUGGUGAAAUCCUGCAGCUUAACUGUAGAACUGCCAUUGAUACUGUCGUUCUUGAGUGCGCUUGACGUGGGCGGAAUGUGCCGUGUAGCGGUGAAAUGCUUAGAUAUGGCACAGAACACCAAUUGCGAAGGCAGCUCACGAAAGCGAAACUGACGCUGAGGCACGAAAGCGUGGGGAUCGAACAGGAUUAGAUACCCUGGUAGCGAGUA